UACAGAGGGGGCAAGCGUUGUUCGGAAUUACUGGGCGUAAAGGGCGCGUAGGCGGCCUGUUAAGUCGAACGUGAAAUCCCUGGGCUCAACCCAGGAACUGCGUCCGAUACUGGCAGGCUUGAAUCCGGGAGAGGGAUGCGGAAUUCCAGGUGUAGCGGUGAAAUGCGUAGAUAUCUGGAGGAACACCGGUGGCGAAGGCGGCAUCCUGGACCGGCAUUGACACUGAGGCGCGAAAGCCAGGGGAGCAAACGGG
rnacentral:rRNA from 1 species